GUGACAGUCCAAUUGGUGGGGAUGUAGAGAUAAGUUGAGGUGCCACAUAGGAAGAAUAUGCCUGGGCUAGUUAAGCAGAAUUGGUUAUGUAUGUUAAAAAGAUUUGUAAGUUUGUUGUCUUUGUACAUCCAUGCCCCUAGGGUGCUAGCUAAGGCGGCUGUGGUGAGUGGUUGUAAGGGAGUGUAUGGGUUUUUUUUUGGUAGUUUUUGCCUUUACUUUCCCAGUGGAAGGGGAAGCAUUUUGUGUCUAUUAAGAGCUGGUUAGAGGGGUUGUCUUUAAAUGAUGGGAUGAGGAGGCAUUCGUCUGUAGUAGGGGGGAUGAGCUUCACAGGGGGAUGGAGUCCAGGGUUGGAGGAACAAGCAGAGUAGUGUUUUUCAUUACAGUAUCCAGAGUUUAUGUUCUGUAGGAGGGUGAUGUUAACUUUGUGGGGGCUAGGGGAGCUGAAAAGCAUAAGGUAACCCUGAAGAUCUGGAGACUGGUAUGGUCAACUGGGCCCUGGAGUCGUAGGGUAAAAUUACAGUGGCUUGAAGGUGGAGAGUAGAAGAGAGGAUAAUAUAAAGAUCACGCCAAAUGGAGGUGGUGAAGAUAUCACUGAACUCAUGAAACCAUAGGAAUCAAGUCUUCUGAAGUAGCACCAUUAUCAACUUCCACAGUGAGUAUAUAUUCUAAAAACACAGUGAUAUUACAUGUGCAGCUGCAGAAAACCAUUCAUAUAUUAUCUUGAUGAUUAUUUUGAUCAAAUGACUUUUCAUCUAAAUUAAUUAUAAUAAUUUUUAUCAAAGUUUUCAUGUGCACAUAGAAGAGUGAAUUGAUAUUUGUGAAUGCAUGAGUUGAACUGGCAGAAGAAAAUAUUUGCAAACAGUUAAAAGCUGAAAAUUUUAUACCAAUAUCAUCUAAUGCAUUAAGUAGAAAAUCAGCUAACUGCAAAAAAUGAUUCAAGUGUUUUCAUUCAAUUUAGGAACUCAAAGUAAUGUUUUGAAAGUACAUUUCAA
rnacentral:lncRNA from 10 species